rnacentral:rRNA from 1 species
AGAGUUUGAUCCUGGCUCAGGACGAACGCUGGCGGCGUGCUUAGCACAUGCAAGUCGAACGGAAAGGCCCUUUCGGGGGUACUCGAGUGGCGAACGGGUGAGUAACACGUGGGUGAUCUGCCCUGCACUUCGGGAUAAGCUUGGGAAACUGGGUCUAAUACCGGAUAGGACCACAUGCUGCAUGGUGUGUGGUGGAAAGUUUGUAACGGUGUGGGAUGGGCCCGCGGCCUAUCAGCUUGUUGGUGGGGUGAUGGCCUACCAAGGCGACGACGGGUAGCCGGCCUGAGAGGGUGUCCGGCCACACUGGGACUGAGAUACGGCCCAGACUCCUACGGGAGGCAGCAGUGGGGAAUAUUGCACAAUGGGCGCAAGCCUGAUGCAGCGACGCCGCGUGGGGGAUGACGGCCUUCGGGUUGUAAACCUCUUUCACCAUCGGCGAAGCCGGGAGCUUGUGUUUUCGGUGACGGUAGGUGGAGAAGAAGCACCGGCCAACUACGUGCCAGCAGCCGCGGUAAUACGUAGGGUGCGAGCGUUGUCCGGAAUUACUGGGCGUAAAGAGCUCGUAGGUGGUUUGUCGCGUUGUCCGUGAAAUUCCCUGGCUUAACUGGGGGCGUGCGGGCGAUACGGGCAGACUGGAGUACUGCAGGGGAGACUGGAAUUCCUGGUGUAGCGGUGGAAUGCGCAGAUAUCAGGAGGAACACCGGUGGCGAAGGCGGGUCUCUGGGCAGUAACUGACGCUGAGGAGCGAAAGCGUGGGGAGCGAACAGGAUUAGAUACCCUAGUAGUCC